AUUGAACGCUGGCGGCAUGCUUUACACAUGCAAGUCGAACGGUAACAGGGAGCUUGCUCCGCUGACGAGUGGCGAACGGGUGAGUAAUGCGUCGGAACGUGCCGAGUAGUGGGGGAUAACGCAGCGAAAGUUGUGCUAAUACCGCAUACGUACUGAGGUAGAAAGUGGGGGACCUUCGGGCCUCACGCUAUUCGAGCGGCCGACGUCUGAUUAGCUAGUAGGUGAGGUAAAGGCUCACCUAGGCGACGAUCAGUAGCGGGUCUGAGAGGAUGAUCCGCCAAACUGGGACGGAGACACGGCCCAGACUCCUACGGGAGGCAGUAGUGGGGAAUUUUGGACAAUGGGCGAAAGCCUGAUCCAGCCAUGCCGCGUGUCUGAAGAAGGCCUUCGGGUUGUAAACUGCUUUUGUCAGGGAAGAAAUCUUCUGGGUUAAUACCUCGGGAGGAUGACGGUACCUGAAGAAUAAGCACCGGCUAACUACGUGCCAGCCGCCGCGGUAACAC
rnacentral:rRNA from 1 species